rnacentral:rRNA from 1 species
AUCGAACGCUGGCGGCAGGCCUAACACAUGCAAGUCGAGCGGAGCGGCGGACGGGCGAGUAAUGCCUAGGUAUCUGCCUGGCAGUGGGGGAUAACGUACGGAAACGGGCGCUUAUCUCGUAUACUAUCAGAUGAGCUUUGGUCGGAUUAGCUAGUUGGUGGGGUAAAGGCUCACCAAGGCGACGACCCGUACCUGGUCGGAGAGGAGGAUCAGUCACACUGGAACUGAGACACGGUCCAGACUCCUCCGGGAGGAAGCAGUGGGGAAUAUUGGACAAUGGGCGAAAGCCUGAUGCAGCCAUGCCGGGUGUGUGAAGAAGGUCUUCGGAUGGUAAAGCACUUUAAGUUAGGAGGCGUUACCAACAGAAUAAGCACCGGCUAACUACGUGCCAGCAGCCGCGGUAAUAC